GCGUGGUGAAUGCAAGAUAGAAAUAUAGACAAGGAGAGUUAAUGUUUCUAAUUUACCAGCUUCUGGGUGAAGGGUAUGGUGAACGUAAGGAGGCUUGCAGUUCCCAUCAACAAUUUUGCAGCCAGAAAGUUUAGCACAGGUGUCUCUUGAGCCACCCGCGAAACGGCAUGAGUUAUAGACAUUUCUUGCUGUGGUGGAUGGGCAACAACUCUUUGCUUCCACCUGGAUCUUCUCUUGUUGCAGGACUAAGCCUAGCACUAGCAUACACAUGAUCAAACUCUUCACUCCUUCCAUGCUUUCUAGCUUGUUUUCCAAUGAGAUUUAGUCGGGGAUCAACAAACUAAAGCAAGAGGGCUGAAAGGCUACUGCUUCCUUGGUCUUGUGGUUGUGCAUCUGAUUGGAGAGUGCGACGCGUCUAUUUAUAGCUGAAGCCAACAUCAUGCCCAAGCUGCACCUGCAUGAUAGAGAUGAUUAUGUUAUUUUAAUUCACAAUAGUUAUAUUGGUGAUAUGUUCUCUGUAUUUGUUUGUUUAGAGACCAAGCUACUUUAUUGCAUGACACAUGUAUAUGGAUGGCUUGGUACAUGCUUAACUGCUAUCGUCCAGCGAAAUAUAGAAGACCGAGUGUGUACUGUGUUCUGUAGACUGCAACUGAUCCCAUUUCAUGCAAAACUUUUGCUGCCCAUGUGGUGAACGUGAUGAGAAAUAGAAGCUUAAUCACAUGGCAUCUUCUGCCUUACUAGCAUCUAUAGCUAGUAGUACUGGCCUGGUAGCUAGGUGGCUGUUAAAAAUUUUACUAAAAAAAAUGUCGCUACUACACAUUAGGCUAACCUAUGGGUAUAGCUGUUUACAACACCCAAAUUUUAGAAUCGCAUGUAUCCAAUCGAUAAUAGUACUGCUGCCAGUUAAUGUUGUAUACUAGCAGUGAUUAUUUCACACACUAGCAAAUUUAAGUCGAUGGCCACUUGACAGCAACAACACACGUGGAGGACAUAUCAAAAGAAAACGGCACUAAGCUGUUGUGAAAAAAGAAACAUAUACAUCAGCACAAAUCUAACGAUACCGAUGGAGUUCAUCAUCACUUUCUGUCACUGUAGCUAUGUCCUUACCAACAUAUAUUAUUGCCUUCUCUUGCCUCCUCUCUCUAGAUAUGUGUAGAAUCAUGUGAUGAUUUAAUCGUGGUGAUGAACAAUUGUCAAAGGUGAGUGCUUUGUGAAAAUACGGUGAAUAGUGUUUUCGGUAGUCGGCUCUUGGUGGCUGGUCAGACCAGGCGGGGACUGCCGGUCAGACCAGUGGUGUUGGACCGGUCUAACCGGGUUGCCCAACGGUCAGAUUAGCAGACUCCAGGUUGGAGUCAGUUUCGGAUUGUUUUCAUGGGAUUUCUACAGUGCUUUAUGGAUAUGACUUCUAGAUGAUUUCUAUUCGUAUAUGAUGCUAUUGUGUGAUGGUCUGAGUGAAGUUAGUGUGAACUUGCUGCCUCCACGCCACCGGAUCUGGCGGAGGCGAGGUCCAACCCGCCACCACCGCUACACCUCUUCUCUCGCUCGAUCUGGCGGGGGGAGGGGGGGUCCGGGCCGCCGCCUCCAUGUCGUCCGCCGCCGCUGCACCUCCCCUCCCCCCGAUCUAGUUGACGGGAGGGCGUCGCUACCUCUCCUGCAGCUACCGCAGAGAGAGAGAGAGGAGAAGCGUCGCUACCUCUCCCACCGCUGCCGCAGAGAGAGAGAGGAGAAGCCGAGAGAAGGGCUCGGCCUUAUCUCCUGCCAGUGUGGGUGUGGGCCCCAUCUGGAGGAAAAAUAUCUCCCCUAGCUGGUUCGGCUCGAUUUUAUCGGUUUCAGUUUUUUUAAAAACCGGCACUUAUAAUUAAUUAUAGGUGAACCGACACCUAAAAUCUAGGUGCCGGUUUUUCUGUAAAACUGACACCUAUCUUCGUUUAAAGGUGUUAGUUUUAUUUUUUUUUUCAUUUUAUGAAGGUGGGAACAGCACUAUAGGUGCCGGUUUAAUCACUUCCGUUACCUAUAGUGGCAACACCUAUUUGAUAUUUUGUAUGAGUGACUAUGAGUAUUGUUAAGUCAGAUUUGACACCACAUAUGCUUUAAUUUUUUUUUAAUAAAACCACUCGGCUGGUUGAUUUGUUUGCUCUUUGACUAUAUGUUUAGUUUGUUCAUCUAAUCACAUAGUUGGGGUUACACCUAAUUAGCUGCAUCUAGUCGAUGCCACUGACGCCCUCCUUCCCUCCAACUAGAUCAAGGACAGGGAGGGAAAGGGAGUGCAGCCACCGCUAGCUUCCGCCCCUUUGGCCAGAUUAGGAAGAGAGUGGAGGGGCUGUGGUGGAAAGGGAAGUGGAAAAGGUGAGGUAGAGAGCUGAGACGGGUGAGGGGCUGAGAGGUCGAGCAGUUAGGGUGUGGGAGGGGCAAGGUGCGCUCGUUGGUUGUGAUCCAAUUUUUUUAAGCCGCUCCUAUAUUUACUGGCGAACGUCUUAAGUCCUCGCCUGCAAAAAAAUGUUAAAUUACUGGCAAGGUCUAAAGAGGACCACAUGCGAAAAUUACUGGCAAGGACUUGAGAAGCCAGAAUACAGUGUAGCUCAUGAGCUGGUCAGUGAUGACCAGAGUUGAGGUAGAGGAUAAUUAAGUAGACCCCUCCAUAAACUAAUUGCUGGAAUAGACCCUUUUUGGCAUCAACCUCAUUGGCGCCCUUCCUCUCUUGCAGCACCAGCAUCAUUACCACUAUCCGAAUAGGACUUAGUCACGCGCGCCCUCCCUCCUUCCCCCCAGUCCGUGCCCGAAUAGGAGCAGUUCUCCCCUCCCUCUCCUCUCCUCCUCAAUUCCAGUCGAUUUGGACCUAUUUUUCUCGGAAUUUCUCAUGGAAGUUGAAGAGCAGCAUAUACUACACCAUUCCUCUUUUUUUUCGGUUUAAUUGGUCAAAUAUUUAGAGAUCAGAGAGUAACCCUAAAAACUUCGUUUUCCCCCCAAAUUUGAGGCCUCCCAAUGUGGGAUUUUAGGCUUGUAUUGGUUCUUGUAUGUAACUUGCUUCAAGCUCUUAGAAUUUUUCAGAUAUAUAGGUGUUAUUCAAAAUUUUAAGUUGAAAAAUGAAUGCAUGAAUAUAUGCAUAAAUUAAUUUAUAGGCAUUCAAUUGAAGGUAUGUGUUAGUUUAUUCGUGUGUAUUGAUAAUAGAUUUGAGCCAUGGAUAUUUCAUUUUCAUAGGUAUUUAUUAUAUGGAUGAUAGACUAAUUUUGUGGGAUGAUACACUAAUGGUGUACAAACCAUACAAUUAGGUUCGUCAUUAUAUCAGAGUCGGUCGGCACGUGAUAGGUCAAUGAUCGAAUGGUACGUAGAGUGAUCUCGCUGCAUGUGAUUGUGAUCAGAUAAGUACUAUCAGCUGAGUGAUAUAAAGAAUAGACUAAUUAAAUUAUAUUAUAAAAAUAUCUAAGUGCUAGCUCUCUGAUAGAUGAUAAUAUAAUCUGUGUAUGCAUAUCUCGUGCAUAUAUAUUAUAACCUAUACAAAUUUGCUUCCUUGGAUGGAUAUAAUGCAGAAACAUUCAGGCAUGCGGACCAUGCUUAUUGCACUAGCUUGUACAGUUGCACCUAUACCUAUUGUCAGAACAAGCAUGGUGAAGUGAGGUGAUCUAGCAAGUAAGGAAGUAGCACCUAUACCUCUCCUCCUCAAAUCCAGUCGAUUUGGACCUAUUUUUCUCGGAAUUUCUCAUGGAAGUUGAAGAGCAGUAUAUACUACACCAUUCCUCUUUUUUUUCGAUUUAAUUGGUCAAAUUUAUAGAUUAGAGAGUAACCCUAAAAACUUCUUUUUUUUCCCCAAAUUUAGGCCUCCCAAUGUGGGAUUUUAGGCUUGUAUUGGUUCUUGUAUGUAAUGUGCUUCUAGCUCUUAGAAUUUUUCAGAUAUAGAGGUGUUAUUAAAAAUUUUAAGUUGAAAAACGAAUGCAUGAAUAUAUGCAUAAAUUAAUUUAUAGGCAUUCAAUUGAAGGUAUGCUAGUUUAUUGUUGUGUAUGGAUAAUAAAUUUGAGCCAAGGAUUUUUCAUUUUUAUAGGUAUUUAUUAGAUGGAUGAUAGACUAAUUUUGUGGGGUGAUCGACUAAUGGUGUACUAAGCAUACAAUUCGGUUCAUUAGUUUAUCAGUCGGUCGGCACGUGAUAGGUCAAUAUUCGAAUGGUACGUAGAGUGAUCUCGCCGCAUGUGAUUGUGAUCGGAUAUGUACUAUCAGCUGAGUGAUGUAAAGAAUAGACUAAUUAAAUUCCAGUAUAAAAAUAUCUAAGUGCUAGCUCUCUGAUCGAUGAUAAUAUAAUAUGUGUAUGCAUAUCUCGUGCAUAUAUAUUAUCACCUAUACAAAUUUGCUUCCUUGGAUUAUGUAGAUGGAUAUAAUGCAGGGACAUGCAGGCAUGCGGACCAUGCUUAUUGCACUAGCUUGUACAGUUGCACCUAUACCUAUUGUCAGAACAAACAUGGUGAAGUGAGGUCUAGCUAGUAAGGAAGUAGCAACUAAUAGUUCUGCAUUGUACUAGUCGUUGAAGCCCAUGUAACGACCGCUGCCCCACUCUUUGGUUUUACCCCGAUUUAUGUUAACAAAAUUUUAAAAUACUUAAUGUGAAAUUUUUUUAUAUAGAAGUUGUUUAAAAAUAUUAGAUAAAUCUAUUUCUAUCUUUGUAAUAAUUGUAACUCAAUUAAUCAUGCUAGCCGUUUGGAAAUAUCUACGCACUUUAACCUUUUUUUUGUGUGUGUGUUUUAGAAUUGUAAAGUUACAUAUAAAUUAUUCGAGCCCAAUUUCAUACUUGCACUAAACCCCUAAAAAACCGUAAACAUAUAUAUUUCCUAUAAAAGACAUAAUAUGAUCCUCGGCGUCCCAAGGUGUCUUGGUUGGCUCCGUCAAUGCACUAACUCGACGAAACCAACAUGGCACCUAGAGCACCUCAUAUUCUGUGAUGAUUUAAUAACCUAGGAACUAAAUCCAUAUAUAAAUGAAUAAUUAUCAAAAAAAAUUACAUAUAUACCACAUAUCCUAAGUCCCAAAAAUCACAAAAUUGACAUAUAAAAAAAAUGCAUCUACAUUUUUUAAUAAAAAUUGACAUCGCACAAAAUUGACAAAUUGUCAUUUCACAAAUUUCACAAAUAUCACCCUAAGUCCCAAAUUUCACAUAUCACAAAUUGCACAUAUCACAAAUUUUCACAAAAAACCUAAAACACGCUUACCGCUAGCGGCUUGGGGUGGAGGUGGCUGGCGGCGGAUUUUGGGGAAGCCGGCAGCUUGGGAAGGAGGUGGCCGGCGGCAGAGGUCGGUAAGGCCAGCGGCUUGGGGAGGAGGUCGGCGGCGGCAAAGGUUGGGGAGGCCGGUUGUUUCAGGAGGACGACGGCCGCGGCGGAGGUCGGGGAGGCCGGCGUGAGCGCGAGGAGGAGAGGAGGCGGCAGCGGCCCAGAUCUUGAUGGCGAGAGGAGGAGAGGAGUAGAGGAGGAGGCAGAGGUGGUGGCCGGAGAGGACGUCGCCAGCAUGAAGGGCGAGGAGGAGAGGAGCCGACAGCAGAGGUGGAGGCUGGUGAGGCGAGGAGGCCACCGGCGGCGUUUCGGGCUCAGCGAGGAGGCGGCGGCGGUGGCGGCAAACAACUGGGCAGCGUCGGUGGUAAUUUCGCCCACCCGCCCCGUGCUUAUGUAACCAUAUUAUCACCUGCGGGUAAUCGAUAUUCCCAUGCGGGCGGUUUAAGUUGCCCGCACGGGAUGAUAUUAUUUCAUGCGGGCGGCUUAAGCCACCCGGACGCAAAAAUAAAUGCAGAUAAAUUAAUAAAUCCUAUCUAAAUAUAGUUAAUUAAUCAAUAUAAUUAUUCAACCACAAAUUAAAUAUAGUUAUAGUUAAUUAAACCCAUAAAUUAUUUAACUAUAAUUCUUUAACUAUAACUAAAAAGGGUUAUAGUUAAUAAACCACAACUUAAUUAAUUAAUCAAUAUAAUUAUUCAUCCAUAUGAUUAAUGCCAACAAAUUAUUCAACCAUAGAAAUAUAAUUAUUUAACCACAAAUGAAUUUCAAUCGCAUCUAAUUAAAUCGCUUGUAUAUUGAUCAAACCACAUCUUAAUUAUUCAACCAUAUAACUUGAGAACGACAUAUAGUACAGAUAAACAUGGAACCAUAAGUUUUAUACAUUAAUCGUUUGAAGAGGCUAUAAGUUGGAUACAUUAAUCGUUUUCAAAACAGGUUGUACACAACAACAUAUAUAUAUAUAUAUAUAUAUAUAUAUAUAUAUAUAUAUAUAUAUAUAUAUAUAUAUAGAUAUAUAUACACACUAAUGUUUCACAAUUUUCGCAGCACCAUCCUUCCGCACAGACGAAAACUUCUCUUCGUCAAGGGUUGUCUCAAUUCGCUUGAUCUGGUUAGGAAUAUCUGUGAAUAAUGGGACGUCGUCAUAUUGGUUGUAAUCUGACACGUCUUUAGUGUUAUCGAUGCCAAUAAUGUGUUGCUUUCCCACUACAGUAAUGUCCAUCCGCUCGUUGGAUGGGUCCUUCACAUAGAAAACCUGUCCAACAUAUUCAGCGAGAACGCAUGGAUCAUCCUUGUGGCUUAGUUUACUACAUUCCACAACCGUAAGGCCGUAGUAAUCGAUGGAUACGCCUGUUGUGUCUUUGACUCACUGGCAUCAUAGCACCGGGACCUGGAUGUUAAUGCCAUAGUCAAGCUCCCAAAUGUCUUGUAUUAUCCAUAGUAUGACUUCUUCUCGCCUAUUGCGUCCAACGCCUCCACACGAACUCCACUAUUAUGAGCUGCACUUUUCUUGUUCUUGCCUAUCGUGUAAAAUGUAUAUCCGCCGAUGUCGUACCAUUGCCAUGAGUUCAUGAGGCUACUUGGGCCAGUUGCCAACCUGUGCAAGCGAUUCACCGAACGACAUGUUUUUUCCUUCAGGCAUUCAGGAAAUUUGCGCUUCUGUUCCUUUGAGAUCCAAGUCGCCGGUCUUCUAGGGUUGCAUGCUCUUAUCUCGUUCAUGUGUCCCUCAAUGUAUGGCUCGAGGAUGGCUAGUUGUUGCGGCACACUGCUAAAAGCUUCCGCUACAGCUUUGUAGUCAUUAUCAUAGAACCUUUUCUUGCCUACGGUCUACUUCCCAAGUAACCGACCCUCAUGUACAACGGGGGUUAUAACAAUGGGUGUGGCGUCCUUCACGUAAUCUAUACAGCAUUCAACCAGCCACCUCCUCAGUUGUGUACCCCAUUAUCAUUGAUCCCUUCUGAUGAGCUGGGUUACAGACAUACCCUUUCAGAACCGACAUGUACCUCUCAGACGCCCACAUCUAAUGUAGGUAUACGGGUCCAAUUUCAAUAAUCCAAGGGACGAUGUCGACAAUCAAAUGCUCCAUCAUAUUGAAGUAAGAUGGAGCGAAAAACAUCUCAAGCUGACACGCUGUCUCGGUUGCCAAUGUUUAAAGUGGGCCUAACUCUUCAGGAUCGAAAACGUUUUGUGACAUGUGAGACAUAGAAAGCAUCGGCUCGGCUUGGAGGUGGUUUCCUUUUUUUAAAAAAAAUCAGGGAGAGCACAAAGGUACCGGUUCUAUAACUGACACUAAUAACCUAGUGUCACUGGUGCCAACCAAUUGGUGCCGGCUGGGAAACCGACACCAAUUGGUUCCUAACUGGCACCUAUAUGGGUUUUUUUGUACUAGUGGCCAUCAUCAAUGAGGAGGUUGUGUCACGACCGGAAAUAACCCAACUGGCGUUCCUUACGUGCGUGUAUUAUUCCUUGUCCCAGGAGGCAAGGUACACCCAAAAGUUGAUACAUUUCAGAGUUUAUCAAGCGGAAGCAUAAAUAAUUAAUCUAUUACAUGGGCGGCGAAUACCCAGCACACAAGAAGACAAACGAAAAACAACGGAAGAUUAGGGCGACGACCACAGGCGCUUGAUGGCAGGCACGAGCUAGACACCAAAGCCUUCAUCUUCCAGGAACUCCUCUUCUGAGUUUGGGAAAAAUUGAGCAAGACUGAGUACAACCACCGUACUCAACAAGACACACCCACAAGUGCAGAAUAAAUGCAAGGGCGUACAAGGGGGGUUAUAGUAUAAAUGGUUAGGUUUUGCAGUAAACAGCAUUAAAAGACACUUAGUUGCUCAAAGCUAUUUUGUAAAUACGAUCCUAGAGCUAUACAAGAUUAUUAAUCAAGGCCGUGAACCCACACGAACCUGCCUUAACCCAAGGCCUACGAUGAUUCAGACCGAGCUGGCAACCCGACCCUGGGUCCAAGCUCGUCCCAAGCCAACCCAGGCCAACCAUUCCACAUUUUAGUUGUUAAGCAGGUUUUAAGAAUUAAAAACACUAACUUGGGUACAUUGCUCGGCUUGCCCAUAACCGAGGGCGCGGCUAUUCGAAUAGGUUAUACUCUGAUCAGAGGUGUACAUCUUUACCCACAAGACACAUCUUCCUCACGUGUAACCUCGUGCCACAUACCACCACGGUAUACGGACGGAAGACGUGACAUAGUUUCCAACCCAUCCUAGCCGUAGACAAGAGUACCGACCCAACCCCACCUACGGCCGGAACCCCCGGGACAGGUAGGCAGGACUGAGCCCCUAGCAGUAGGACACCGGCCCUGUGCCAUGACAUCUCGACUACCGGGCCGCAGCUCGUGUAGCCUUCAUUUGUCCUAGAGAUGUCCAUCGACCCCCGACUUCGUCCAUCUCCAUCCGUGUACUUUUGUUUAUAACCAGACUGAGCCACAAACUAAGCCUUACCCACUAGAUAUGUGGAAGUACGGUAGUGCUUUGCAACAGAGGCCCGAAGACCGGUCCUUAUAUGGCCGAGGUGCUACUAUCAAAACCAUGCACCCCGAGCCCAGCCUAAAACCAUUUUGAGGAUUUUGAAUAGAGGGGGAGGUGUGAACCCAAUUCCACAAUAAUCCAACCAUUCCGUACUUGUAAAACCACCUAAUGUUACCUAAUUAAGCGGCGAAGCAUCUACCUAAAUUCAUACUAGUGGUACCAUGAGUAGAGUGUCCACUAGUUGGGGUUUUGUUUAUUCUAGGAUGAACAAGGUAAUAAUAACAAUAACAAUAAUAAGGUCAUAACAAAAGUAAAUAGGCAAGGCUAGAUAAAACAGUGAUAACGCGGGAAUUUAAAUAAAGCGAUAAUGCAAUAAUUUAAAUCAAAAUAAUUUUAUAAACUGGGAUUCAAUAUGUUCAAGGAUGAUGUGACUUACCUUGCUCGCUUUCCCAAACGUCGGCUUCAACCUCCACGAAGAGCGGAUCUUCCGAAGCUGCAGCGUCUACACGACCAACGGAAAAGAAAAGGGUUUUCCUCUAAUAAACUCCAUAUAACCAGCAAGAACAAAGUACAAAAAUGGGUUCUUGACUUCUUAAGGAAAAAUUAGAGACUUGAACGGUCCAAUUCUGAGUUCAAAUGGCCAAGUUAUGGCCAUUUGAAGUUUAUAUGCUCUUUAAAUGAAUAUUUACGAAUUUCUUCAUUUAAAUUUUAAUUUAAAAAGGGUUUAUUGCGUCAGCCGAGGGGGAGGGGCGCGCAGACCGGGUCCACGGGAGUGGGGCCCACGCGGCAGCCUCACGGUCCACGGUGGACCGGGUGCACCCGGGCUCACACCGGCCGGCGCCGUGGGCCUAACACGUCAGCCGCACCUGAGGGCGCGGGCGGCUGACGGCCGGGCCCCACGCGGCAGCCACUCGGCGCGCCCGAGGGCGGCCACGCCAGCGCGGUCGGCGGGAGGCGGCGCGCCCGCACCCCGAUGGUUGCUGCCGGCGACCACCUGCGCGGCGGGGCGGUGGCCGAGAGAGGGGAGGGAAGGGGGAAAGGAGGCGACGGUCCACGGCUCACCCCGGGGCGACGGCGGCGACGGAGGAGGCGGCCGGAGUGGAGGGAGGCGGCGGCGCGGCUCGGGUCGACGGGGUCGACGGCGUUCCGGCGGUCGGCGACCGAAACGGAGAGGUGGAUGAGGUCGGCGAGGAUGCGGCGAACCCGAAGGAGGCGGCGCCGAGGUGGGAGGCGGUCCGGGGCGACGACGGCGGCGGACCGGAGCUCGGCGGCGACGGCGGAGAGAGAGAGCGACGUCGCGAGCUCGAAUCCGGCAAGGAGGAAGGGCGGCGAGAGGCGGAAACGGACGGAUUAGGUGCGGGGAGGGUUUAAAUAGGGUUGGAAGGGGGAGAGAGCGGUCGGUGGGGAAGCAAACCGGCGCGGGAGGUCCGGCCGCCAUCAAUGGCGCCGGCGAGAUUUGGGGGGCAAAUCCGCCCGUUUGAACGCGAGAGAGAGAGGGAAAAAUGGGGGGAAAGGGAGAGGGGAUCACGGGGAGUGAUUUCCCCCACUUUAUUGCACGCGGGGACGGCGGGAUGCGGCGGAUUUGGCGGCGGCGGCGGCGCUUGGCGCAGGCGGAGCGGCGGGAGGACGGGGAUGACGGGUGGGCCCCACCCGUCAGCGAGGGUGGCGGGCGGGCCCGCCCGUCAGCGGCGCGCGCGCGGGGAGAGGCCGAGUGGGCCGCGGAGAGAGGAGAGAGAGGGGGAGGGAGAUGGGCCGAAUUCGGACCAUUAGAGAGAAGGAGGGAUUUUAGGGUUUUUCUUUUUAUAAAACCUUUUUAACUUUGUUUAUUUCUUAAGAAUUAUUAUUUGUGCUCUAAAAAUUCCACUAAAAUUUAUUUACAUAUUUUAGGCUCUUUAGGAAAUAUACAAAAAUCCUCUAAGCCUUGUUUGACUUUUAACUUUGCACAUUUUAAUUGUUGGAGGCUUUCACAUGGUUUUUAAUUAUUCUAGGCAUAAUUUAGAGGAUGUAUUUUAGAGUCAUUUUGGGACUGUGCCACCUUUAGAUUAUCCCGAAUGGUUCUGACUUUAGCUUCAGCUUCUCUCAGGAUAUCAGUCCCGAACACUUGGCUUUCCCCAACUUGGUCCCACAAUAGCGAUGUCCGGCAUUUGCGUCCAUACAACGCUUCAUAGGGUGCCAUUUAUAUGCUGGCUUGGUAGCUGUUAUUGUAGGAGAACUCGGCAUAGGGGAGGCUCUUAACCCAGGUCUUCCUGAAAUCUAGGACACAUGCGCGAAGCAUAUCUUCUAGGACCUGAUUUAGACGCUCGGUCUAUCCAUCUGUCUGCGGGUGCUACGCGGUGCUGAAAUUUAAUCGGGUACCCAGCUCUUCUUGGAGCUUCUUCCAAAAGUGAGAGGUGAAUUGGCUUCCCCUAUCAGAUACAAUUUUCUUAGGAACGCCAUGGAGACUCACGAUCCUAGCGAAGUAGAGCUCGGCUAGUUUGUUCCCUCCAUAGGUGGUCUUCACAGGAAUAAACCGAGCUACCUUGGUUAGUCGGUCCACAACUACCCAUAUAUAAUCAUAUCCGCCUUGGGUUUUUGGAAGUCCGGUGAUGAAAUCCAUCCCAAUUUCAUCCCAUUUCUAUUCUGGUACUUGGAGAGGUUGGAGAAGUCCGGUCGGUCGUUGGUGCUCUGCCUUGACACGCUGGCACACAUCACAAAGGGCCACGAACUCUGUAAUUUCCCGCUUCAUACUAACCCACCAGUAUUUCCCUUUCAAGUCUAAGUACAUCUUCGUACUGCCAGGGUGAAUGGAAUAAGGACUUUCGUGAGCUUCCUGAAGUAUCUGCUGUUUAAGUUCUCUGUCGUUUGGAACGCAUAUCCGAUUUCGGUUCCAUAGGGUUCCGUGUUCAUCCUCUGUGAAACCAGCGGCUUUACCCUAUUUCAUAUUCUUGAGGAGUUCACGCAUAUCCGGAUCAUUCUUCUGAGCCUCGCGGAUUUGAUCGAGCAAGGUAGGCUUGGCUUCCAGCGUAGCCAAGAAUCCAUGACCAACUAUGCUUAGGUUCAGGGCUUCCAUCUGUUGAUUAAGUUCGGGUGGAAUGCCACGGACUUCAAGAGUGUUGCAAUGGCUUUUUCGACUUAGAGCGUCGGCGACCACGUUGGCCUUACCAGGAUAAUAGUGAAUUCCCACAUCAUAAUACUUGAUGAGCUCUAACCAUCUUCUCUGCCGAAGAUUCAGAUCCGACUGAGUGAAGAUGUAUUUCAAACUCUUAUGAUCAGUAUAUAUUUCGCAGCGAUUCCCGAUGAGAUAAUGCCGCCAGAUUUUUAGAGCAUGAACCACAGCGGCCAACUCCAAAUCAUGGGUAGGGUACUUGCCUUCAUGGGGCCGUAGCUGGCGUGAGGCAUAGGCUACCACAUGACCUUCCUGCAUGAGCACGCACCCUAGUCCUUGGCGCGAAGCGUCACAGUACACCAUGAAGUCCUUGCGAGUAUCCGGUAAUCAUCGAUCCGGGGAAGAGGGUACUUGUUUUUGAUAGUAACUUCAUUGAGAGCUCUGUAGUCAACGCACCUCCUCUUUGUCUUGUCUUUCUUCUUCACAAAAAUCACAGGAGCACCCCAGGGGGAAGUACUCGGCCGUAUAUACCCCUUUUCUUUCAACUCUUCCAACUGUUUCUUAACUUCGGCCAGUUCAUUGCUGCCAUACGGUAGGGUCGCUUGUACAGGGGAGUGGUUCCUGGAGCAAGAUCUAUCCGGAACUCAACUCUCGCUUCGGCGGCAUACCGGGUAGUUCUUCCGGAAACACGUCUCCAAACUCCCUGACGAUGGGGAUUUCCGACAGUCUUAUCUGAUGAAGUUCUGAACUGCCAACAGAGGUUGGGGGUGCAAAGAAAACAACCGGUUGUUCCGGCCCUCGGUACAGAGUGACAGUGCGUCUUGCACAAUCCACUACUCCUUGGAAUUGAGCCAACCAAUUCAUCCCAAGGAUCACAUCCAAGUUCUUGGUGUCUAGAAGAAUCAGAUCCGAGGGAAAAGGAAUUCCCUGAAUUUCUAUAGGAACGGCAGGGCUAUAAUACUUUGCUGUCAUAACCCCUCCAGGGGUGGUGAUGAGCAGAGGGUUCCUAAGCCUUUCUACCCCCAACCGAUUUCUCCCCACGAAUGGCACAGAUAUAAACGAGUGGGAUGCUCCAGAGUCGAACAGAAUGGUAGCAGGGAUGGAAUGAAUGAGGAACGUACCAACGAUGACGUCUGGAGUUGUCAGCACGUCCUCGGCCGUCACGUGGUUCACACGACCCCAAAUGACAUCCUUACCACUGUUGUUGGAGCGGGGAGGCGCUUGGCCUUGCUGGCGCCUCGGCUUUGGGCAUUUAUCUGCAAAGUGCCCGGGCUCGAAGCAGUUGAAGCACAGACGCUGCUGACCUUGAGCGUCCCUGCGGCCUUGACCAGGCUGCACAGCUGGCGUAGGGGGACGGGGCGCACGAGUCUCUUGCUGACUCUGCUGUUGCUGCGGCUGUGAGACGCGCACCACGAAUUGAGGUCGGAGCGCGGAGCGAGGUUGCUGCUGCGAGGAGGAUCCCCCUGGAUAGGGAUUGGUGUAGCGGACACUUUGGUUAGCCCCCUGUUGGUUGCGGAAAUUCGCCAAGCGACGCUUGUGCGACUCCAGUUUCUUGUGCUUGGCUUCCAAGCGGAUGCUCUUGUCAACCAAACGCUGGAAAUCCGGAUAGUCCCCGGAGACCAGACGCACGGACAGCUCAGGGUCCAUUCCUGCCAAGAACUUCUCUUGCUUCUGCUCAUCUUCACGAACAUCCUCCGGGGCGUACCAGGCCAGGUUGUUAAACUCAUGCAAGUACUCCAUCAUGGAGCGGUUGCCUUGCUUCAACUCUCGGAAUUCCCUUUUCUUAAGGGCCAUGAUUCCGGCGGGCACAUGGGUUCUCCGGAAAGCGGCGGUGAAGCGGGCCCAAGUAAUAGGUUGCCCCUCUGGCUGCGUAGCCUGGAAAUGGUCCCACCAUAGAGAUGCGGGCCCCUGCAGUUGGUGGGCGGCGAAGAUGACUUUCUCCUCAUCGCUGCACUGCACGGUGUCUAACUUUUUCCCCACGGCAUGCAACCAAUCCAACGCAUCCACGGUGUUAUUGGAGCUAGAGAAGGUAGGCGGAUGGAUGCGGAGGAACUCGGCGAGUUUAGAGUGUUGUGGGGGUGGUGGUGGAGCAUUAUGUUGUGGCGGGUUUUGGAUGUGGUGGAGGAAAGCAGCCAUCAUGUUGGCCUGCUGGGCGAGGAUUUGGGUGAGGAUGGCGUUGGUGUCUGGUGGUGGUGGUGGAGGCGGAGGAGGAGGUGGAGGUGGGCUGCCAUGGUUGUUGUGGUUGCUGCCUUCGGGGUGACUGCCUUCACCGGUAGCAGCACUUCUCCUGGUUGUCACCAUCUGAAAACCCCACACAGAACCAGCAAACAGAGAGAGCUGACAACUAAAACUAACCACUCACGACUACCAUAAUUCUUGAAUUUAUUACUGCUAUUAAAUUGGUUCAUUAAAGUUCAAGUUUCUUAAGCAAAUAAAAUAAAGACAGGCUCCGACACAGUUAUACCACACACCGGCAUAACCAUGCCCCAUACGACUCUAGCAGAAAAACAAACGAGAAGAACACACACGCAAGCCUACUAACUGCUCGUCUACUGCUGCGACGGGCCAGGACGGAAGGUGAGCAGCAGCGCAUCCUCCGUGCUGCCAACGCCGGAGGCUCCAUCCUCCUGAGGAACCACGGGCGCGGGCUCGGCACGAGGGGUCUCGACGAAGCAGGUCCACGCCAGGGACUGACGAACAAGCUCAGGCCUGGAGGUACUCUUGCGGGCGGUGAUCUUCAGGCUGUGGCAGAUGCGGCGACGCUUGGGGCGACAGACCUCUCCCUGGGCGAUCUUAAGCUUACGUAGCUGCGCCUCCACUGCGUCUAGGUCCUUCUUCAGCUGCAGAUUCUCCUGACGCAGCUCCAGGAUCUUCAUGCUGUUCUCGACCAACCCGCGACGCACCAUCUGAUGGAAGUCGAUACGGGCCGCGUCGUACGCCUCCACCAUGCGCGCCAGGUGCAUGAUGGUAGCGUCAUCCUCCGAGCUAGCAUCCCGGAAGGUGGCGUAGUCGCGGGCUCCUCCACGACGAGGGUGGUAGCGGUAGGGCGAGUGCUGCAACUCGUCCGGGUAGCGCUGGUGAAGAGUGCCGAUGGCGAGGAGUGCAGCGUUCUGGCAAGCGGCGGAGAAGGAAUCUCCACCCGCGGUGACCGCCAACGACGUCCUCUCAGGUGAGCCAGUGAGGAUCACUGCAAUAACCUCCCAAGCAGCGUGGGGCUCUGCAUCGUCACCCUCCUGCUCCGGGAGCUGCUUGCCCUGGUAAUCCACUCCAUGCGGAUACCCCAGGACAACGCACAUGCCCCGCAGCUCCAAAACGAAGCCAGUCAGGUCCAGACCACGACGGUUGAUGCUGCCGGCCAUCUACAAACAAAAACAAAAGAGAAAAGCAACAUUUUAAAGGUCAGAUUUUGACGAUAAAUGAAGCAGCAGGACAGAGAGAGACUAGAGGAUUUUCACAAAUAAGAAAGGAUUUUUAUUUUGAAAAUAUUGCUAAGGCUUGGGAUCUACGGCUCGUCCUAGGGUCAGGGGGGGCUCUGAUACCAACUUGUCACGACCGGAAAUAACCCAACGGGCGUUCCUUACGUGCGUGCAUUAUUCCUUGUCCCAGGAGGCAAGGUACACCAAAAGUUGAUACAGUUCAGAGUUUAACAAGCGGAAGCGUAAAUAGUUAAUUUAUUACAUGGGCGGCGAAGGCCCAGCACACACAAAGACAAACGGGAAACAGCGGAAGACUAGGGCGACGACCACAGGCACUUGACGGCAGGUACGAGCUAGACACCAAAGCCUUCAUCUUCCAGGAACUCCUCUUCUGGGUUUGGGAAAAAAUUGAGCAAGACUGAGUACAACCACCGUACUCAACAAGACACACCCACAAGUGCAGAAUAAAUGCAAGGGAGUACAAGGGGGUUAUAAUAUAAAGGGUUAGGGUUUGCAGUAAGCAGCAUUAAAAGACACUUAGUUGCUCAAAGCUAUUUUGUAAAUACGGUCCUAGAGCUAUACCAUAUUAUUAAACAAGGCCGUGAACCCACACGAACCUGCCUUAACCCAAGGCCUACGAUGAUUCAGACCGAACUGGCAACCCGACCCUGGGUCCCAGCUCGUCCCAAGCCAACCCAGGCCAACCAUUCCACAUUUUAGUUGUUAAGCAGGUUUUAAGAAUUAAAACACUAACUUGGGUACAUUGCUCGGCUUGCCCAUAACCGAGGGCGCGGCUAUUCGAAUAGAUUAUACUCUGAUCAGAGGUGUACAUCUUUACCCACAAGACACAUCUUCCUCACGUGUAACCACGUGCCGCAUACCACCACGGUAUACGGACGGAAGACGUGACAUAGUUUCCAACCCAUCCUAGCCAUAGACAAGAGUACCGACCCAACCCCACCUACGGCCGGAACCUCCGGGACAGGCAGGCAGGAUUGAGCCCCCUAGCAGCAGGACACCGGCCCUGUGCCAUGACAUCUCGACUACCGGGCCGCAGCUCGUGUAGCCUUCAUUUGCCCUAGAGAUGUCCAUCGACCCCCGACUUCAUCCAUCUCCAUCCGUGUACUUUUGUUUAUAACCAGACUGAGCCACAAACUAAGCCUUACCCACUAGACAUGUGGAAGUACGAUAGUGCUUUGCAACAGAGGCCCGAAGACCGGUCCUUAUAUGGCCGAGGUGCUACUAUCAAAACCAUGCACCCCGAGCCCAGCCUAAAACCAUUUUGAGGAUUUUGAAUAGAGGGGGAUGUGUGAAUCUAAUUCCACAACAGUCCAACCAUUCCAUAGUGUCCAGGUGAUAAGAGUAUCCCAAAGUCUAGAGUUGUAAAACCACCUAAUGUUGCCUAAUUAAGCGGCGAAGCGUCUACCUAAAAUCAUACUAGUGGUACCAUGAGUAGAGUAUCCACUAGUUGGGGUUUUGUUUACUCUAGGGUGAACAAGGAAAUAAUAACAAUAACAAUAAUAAGGUCAUAACAAAGGUAAAUAGGCAUGGCUAGAUAAAACAGUGAUAACGCGGGAAUUUAAAUAAAGCGAUAAUGCAAUAAUUUAAAUCAACAUAAUUUUAUAAACUGGGAUUCAAUAUGUUCAAGGAUGAUGCGACUUGCCUUGCUCGCUUUCCCAAACGUCGGCUUCAACUUCCACGAAAAGCGGAUCUUCCGAAGCUGCAGCGUCUACACGACCAACGGAAAAGAAAAGGCUUUUACUCUAAUAAACUCCAUAUAACAAGCAGGAACAAAGCACAAAAAUGGGUUCUUGACUUUUUAAGGAAAAAUUAGAGACUUGAACGGUCCAAUUCCGAGUUCAAAUGGCCAAGUUAUGGCCAUUUGAAGUUUAUAUGCUCUUUAAAUGAAUAUUUACGAAUUUCCUCAUUUAAAUUUUAUUUUAAAAAAAAGUUUAUUGCGUCAGCCGAGGGGAGGGGGCGCGCGGACCGGGUCCACGGGGGUGGGACCCACGCGGCAGCCUCACGGUCCACGGUGGACCGGGUGCACCCGGGCUCACACCGGCCGGCGCCGUGGGCCCCACGCGUCAGCCGCACCCGAGGGCGCGGGCGGCUGACAGCCGGGCCCCACGCGGCAGCCGCUCGGUGCGCCCGAAGGCGGCCACUGCGGUGCGGCCGGCGGCGGCCAUAGGCACGGCGGAGCGGCGGCCGAGAGAAGGGAGGGAAAGGGGGAAACGAGGCGGCGGUCCACGGCUCACCCUAGGUCGACGGCGACGACGAAAAAGGCGGCCGGAGCGGAGGAAGGCGGCGGUGCGGCUCGGGUCGACGGGGACGGCGGCGCUCCGGCGGUCGACGAGCGGAACGGAGGGGUGGACGAGGUCGGCGAGGAUGCGGCGAAGCCGAAGGAGGCGGCGCCGAGGUGGGAGGUGGUCCGGGGCGACGACGGCGGCUGACCGGAGCUCAGCGGCAACGGCGGAGAGAGAGAGCGACGGCGCGAGCUCGAUUCCGGCGAGGAGGAAGGGCGGCGAGAGGCGGAAACGAACGGAGGAGGUGUAGGGAGGGUUUAUAUAGGGUUGGAAUGGGGAGAGGGCGGCCGGAGGGGAAGGAAACCGGCGCGGCGCUCUCGGGCUCCAUCAAUGGCGCCGGCGGGAUUAGGGGAGGUUUUCCAAACGAAUCCAAGGGAGAGAGGGAGGGAAAAUUGGGGGGAAAGGGGGAGGGAAUCACGGGGAAUAAUUCCCCCCUAUUGAUUGCACGCGGGGAGGACGGGGGCGGCGGGAUUCGCGGCGGCGGCGGCGCUAGGGCGCGGGCAAGGCGGCGGGAGCGGCGGGAGGAAGGGGAUGACGGGUGGGCCCCACCCGUCAGCGAGAGUGGCGGGCGGGCCCGCCCGUCAGCGGCGCGCGUGCGGGGAGAGGCCGGAUGGGCCGCGGGGAGAGGAGAGGGAGGGGGAGGGAGAUGGGCCGAGCCGGCCCAAGAGGGAGAGGGAGGGGAAGGGGACUUUUUAGAGUUUUUCUUUUUAUAAAAUCAUUUUAACUUUGUUUAUUUCUUAAUAAUUAUUAUUUGUGCUAUGAAAAUUCCACUAAAAUUUAUUUACGCAUUUUAGGCUUUUUGGAAAUAUACAAAAAUCCUCCAAGCCUUAUUUGACUUUUAACUUUGCACAUUUUAAUUGUUGGAGGCUUUCACACGGAUUUUAGUUAUUCUAGGCAUAAUUUACAGGAUGUAUUUUAGAGUCGUUUUGGGACGCGACAAGGGGGAAAGGAGGCGACGGUCCACGGCUCACCCCGGGGCGACGGCGGCGACGGAGGAGGCGGCCGAAGCGGAGGGAGGCGGCGGCGCGGCUCGGGUCGACGGGGUCGACGGCGCUCCGGCGGUCGGCGACCGAAACGGAGAGGUGGAUGAGGUCGGCGAGGAUGCGGCAAACCCGAAGGAGGCGGCGCCGAGGUGGGAGGCGGUCCGGGGCGACGAGGGCGGCGGACCGGAGCUCGGCGGCGACGGCGGAGAGAGAGAGCGACGUCGCGAGCUCGAAUCUGGCAAGAAGGAAGGGCGGCGAGAGGCGGAAACGGACGGAGGAGGUGCGGGGAGGGUUUAAAUAGGGUUGGAAGGGGGAGAGAGCGGCCGGAGGGGAAGGAAACCGGCACGGGAGGUCCGGCCGCCAUCAAUGGCGCUUGCGAGAUUUGCAGGGGCAAAUCCGCCCGUUUGAACGCGAGAGAGGGAAAAAUGGGGGGAAAGGGAGAGGGGAUCACGGGGAGUGAUUUCCCCCACUUUAUUGCACGCGGGGGCGGCGGGAUGCGGCGGAUUUGGCGGCGGCUGCGGCGCUUGGUGCAGGCGGAGGGAGGACGGGGAUGACGGGUGGGAGGACGGGGAUGACGGGUGGGCCCCACCCGUCAGCGGGGGUGGCGGGCGGGCCCUCCCGUCAGCGGUGCGCGCGGGGAGAGGCCGAGUGGGCCGCGUGGAGAGGAGAGGGGGAGGGAGAUGGGCCGAAUUCGGCCCAUUAGAGAGGAGGGAUUUUAGGGUUUUUCUUUUUAUAAAAUCUUUUUAACUUUGUUUAUUUCUUAACAAUUAUUAUUUGUGCUCUGAAAAUUCCACUAAAAUUUAUUUACAUAUUUUAGGCUUUUUAGGCCUUGUUUGACUUUUAACUUUACACAUUUUAAUUGUUGGAGGCUUUCACACGGUUUUUAAUUAUUCUAGACAUAAUUUAGAGGAUGUAUUUUAGAGUCGUUUUGGGACGUGACAGGUUGAGUAUAUAGUUGACCUGAUUAAGGAUCAUAAUCAAGGCAAGUGUCCUCCUUCCCUUUGAAUAUAUUGAACCUCAUGUUUUCGGCAAACAUGUUGUUUUAAAAAAUCUGCACAUAUUCGAACGAUAGGAAUGAUUAGAAUACCUUGUUUGUACUCAAAUGGAUCUACUUAUCUUUUUAUUUAUACCAAAUGCUUUUCCUUGCUUGAUAUGUUUAUCAUGGAUAUGGAUCCUACUUAUCCAUGUUGUUUUGAACACAUUUAAACUUAUCUCCAUAGAUAAGACAUGGAGAAUUACCAUAGUUGGCCUGGCAAGAAACUUGCAACUACUAUGUGCACCACAGUUACACACCUACAAAUAUGCCACCAGACACGCUCAAUUGACUGCAGCGCCUGCAUCACUGAUUUUCCCCCUUAUUUUAGAUUCAAUACGGUACUUGGGCUUCGAUCUUAAUUCCUGCCUAGUCUAGCUAGCUGAACCACAGAUAUAGUAUCUUGUCAAUAAUUAUUAUGUGCAUGCAUAUCUCAUGUUAAUUAACUCUCUCUGGAUCGAUGCCUAUUGUCACCUUUAUAUAUAUAUAUAUAUAUAUAUAUAUAUAUAUAUAUAUAUAUAUAUAUAUAUAUAUAUAUAUAUAUUGCUGAACAGGGAGUACGUGGAUGGACAAAAGAGCACACCAUAUGCAUAUCAUAUGCAUGGCACGUAAGCCAUGCGGACUGCAUUCUCGGGAUGGAUGCAUGGUUCAGAAUGAACUUAAAAAACUCGUACGCAUGAUCCUUGGUGAUUUGGUGGUAUCUCCAAUGUGUGAGAAGCCUAUCAGAAGCCUACUCUCGGUGCGGAAAUUAGCAUUAUAUAUAGUAUGCUAUUUUUUACAAGUUCAAUUUUGAUCAAAGUUUAUUUUUUUCUCCUAGAAUCACCAGUAGAGAAACGAUUUUUCUGUGCGGUUAAAAGUGAUUUUCGCGUGCGGAUGUUCCAACCGUCUGGAACCAAGGGUCUGUAAAAUUUUUGCGUCAGGGUGGCGCACCCGCAUGCAAAAAUCUAAUUUUCGCGUGCGGAGUGAUUAUGUCGCCCGCAGGCAAAAAUAAAAAACUGAAAAAUAUAUAAUCCAGAAAAGAAAGCCCCAACCCUAAAGCUGUCGUCGCCGCCUCCUCGCGGUCGCAGUCGCUGUCGCCGCUGCGGUAGCGGAUCCGGAGCCUCCGCACUGUCCGGGCCGGUAACGGCCGCCGCCGCACGCACGAGCCGCCGAGCUCGCCGCUCCUGCCAGCUGUUCCCGCUUGCAGCCCCCGGGCGAUGCCACGCGCAUGCCGCCGAGGCCGCCGGAUCCGGGCGGGGGACGGCCGCCGCCGCCAGAAUCGGGUGAGGGGAAACUGCCUCCACUGGAUCCGGGUAGGGAACGGUCGUCUGCCGCGCGCACGCGCCGCCGAGACGCCGCUCCCGGUUGCACACCGCCGCGCGCACGCGCCUUGGUGCCCGCCGCUCUCGGUCGCCGACGCACGCAUGCCGCCGAGGCCGCCGCCAAGUGAGGCGGUGCAGCCGGCCGCCACCGGCCGUGCCCGUGCCGGCCGUGCCCAGGAGAGAAGAGAGAGGUGAGAGAGUGAGAAAGGAUAGAGAGGUGAGAGAGUGAGAGAGAGAGUGUUGGUAUUUCUUACGACCACAGAUAAAUCUGCAAGCACACGGAAUACCGCUGUAGCACUUCACCUUCGGGUGACCCCAAAAGGAUAUCGAACUCAAGGAACGUGUGUAAUCUAUCUAAGGUUAAGACGAUCCAAGGACAACAACUAUAGGUAGGCAGGCUAGAGAGGACUUUCUCUAUGCUUUAAUUAUCUACGCUAAGCAAGGUAAUUCCCUAUCUAUUGCUUCGGGCACCGACCCCUGCUGGUCUGCCAGCGUGGUUCCGGCUAUAGCUCUAUGAUGUAUUCGAACCUGGUGGAUUACUAGGACGGAAUUCAGGACUAUCACCACAUGCCGCCUACCUUUGACAAAUCCGUGGGAUACACAACUAACAAUGGUUAUCUCUGACAUAGACACCACGCCUAAGUUAUUAAUUACUACUCUAAUACUAGCGAAGGAACUUCCUUCUCUAUCCGGAGUCCUGGCACUAGAGCACUUAGUAUAAAUACUAAACAAUGAACCUGCAAAGAUGGAAAUAUAACUUACUUAGACUAAAUAAUUAAAUAACAAAAGAAAGAAACACGAAUGUUUACUUAAUAGAAGAAGUUCUCUGAACCCGGAGCAGAGUGUACCGACAGCUCCGGUACUCCUCCCGAAUUCCUCCUACGAAGCUACACUCGUCGACGUAGAAGUCGGAUGAGCGCCAAACUUCCGGGCACUCCUCCAGAGCUUCCCAUCACUCUCAAUCAUAUUCUAAUGUACAAAAGAUACAAUAGAGCCUCUUCUAAUUUAGCUCAAAGUUGUGUGUCGGAAAUGAGAGUGAACUACUCCUUAUAUAGGCAGGUAUGACGGUUACAGCCUAUGCGAAAUGACCAAACUACCCUGGAACAGCCAUCAGGAAGUAAUCAGGGCCGUCCACACAAAAUUUGGCGAUCAACGGCCACCAAAAGGGUUCGGCCAAACUGGUAACCCGGGACGGCUCCGUUCGGCCCGUUUUUCCAUCGUGGACACUAAUUUUGAGGCCCUCAGCCCAUUGGCAUGGAUAGUUGGGCCCGUUUGGAGUUGUUUAAUUGACUUAUGGGGCCUCCAAUCCGUGUAAACGCGUCCUGAAUGCGCGGAGGUGCAUUUUGUCGCAUGACGGAUGUGUUUUCUCCUCAAAAUACCUGCAUACACAUGUUUCACCAACACUAGUGGAAAUGAUUAGUAAUAAUACCUACCACUAAGUUGGAUACCAUAUUUUAUUUCAUUAUAUGCAAGUAUUGACGGUCAAAUAUUAUGAUUUUUGGAUCGUCAACAACACCCCCACACUUAACCUUUGCUCGUCCCGAGUGAAGGCUAAGGACUCUACAACAGAGUUAUAACUUCCUUACUAAUAAUCAUGCAAACAAAUUAUUCAAAGCCAUACAUGUACUUGUGGGUCUUUGUAGUGUCUACCAUGCGAUCCUGAGCAAUUGAGAAAUGGAACAAUCUUGACUCAAGUCACCCUAACUUUUCAUGAAGAACAACUUGGGGUUUUUUUUCAAGUAACACAAAACUAUAACUUUGCUUUACUCCCCCAUUGAUUCUCUCGAUCACUCAAAGUGUAUGAUUCCUCACAAAGGCAUAUGAUUGUGCCUUUUCUUUUCCUACCAUCUAAUAAGGCUUAUGUGGAGCUAGGGUAUGGAAAAGAGUAGAGCAUUACUUGCAUCCAUGGAAAGACAAGACAUACUUUCUGGUCAAGAAUGUGCAUGUGUAUGUGUAUGGUGAAGUUGUGGGUGGAAAAAGGAAAAUAAAAAUAACUCCUUUUGUUUACCUCCUCCUCCAUUUAUUUUUUUUCUUUUGAAACUUGGGAGAGUACAUGGCUAUCCUUUUUUUCUUUUAUUUUUCUUUUUUUCUCGUUCUUUUUCACCAUCAUGCUCCAUACUUCUAUGAGCACUUUUUUUUUCUUUCUUUUUGCACAGCCAUGCCUCUCUCUUUUUCUUUUUUUUUUCUUUGGAAGAACUUUGGAGGAAGUGGCAUAAAUGACAUGGAGUAUUUAUUUUGUGGACUAUAGAUGAAAUGAAUGGUAAAUGAGCAAUGUUGACUUCCAAUGUAGAAGUCAAGCAUUUAAGUGUGUAUGUGGAAUGUGUGUGAUCUUGACCAUGAAAGUAUGAAAAGCAUUUCACUAGGGUCACAAAACUUGACAAGGCUCAAUGUAUUAAUAAGUAGCGUAUGUAGCGAGCUAAUCAUGAAUGAUCAACCUAUGGCUCUAGUGGGAAUAAAAAUAUCAAUGAGGAGUUUAGCAUCGUUAUUUUUUUUCUUUUAUAAGAUUCCCAAGUGUGCAACAUGAAGAGCAGGAUUUCUUUCAUCAGACUAUAUCUCAAUCCUCAAUUACCUAGAUAGCAUGGGGUGCCUAUUGAAUAUGUCUCCACAAGCAGCAAGUAAUGAGCAAAGAAUAAUAGGCAUGCAUGUUAUUUUUAGGGAGGCCAUGAACUCUAAUUGUACCAUCCCUAGCUUGAGUUUAAUUAUCUUCGAUGUUUCAGAAUUGGUAAUCAAAUUAAACUCAAGAUAGAAUGGAUGUCCAAAGGAAAAAUUGUGCAAACCUGCGCUCUGUAUAACACAGAGGACGAUUCAUUGGUUCUGACUGUAUCAAUUUCCCUUGUGUGUUUCAUCAUGGCUCAUCACUUCUGGGGUGAUCUUGCUUUGGUUAUGGCGUUGAUGUGCAAGAUCACCCCCACACUUGACUUUGUACAUGGGGCUCUUUAUUGGACACAAAAAUGAAAAAUAAAGACAAAAGUGAAGCAAAAAGGACUCACUUGGUUGGAAGACUAAGUAGCCAACUUUAUUUUAUUUUAUUUUAUCCAUGAAAGCUAGACCUAAGAUAACUACAGGGAGGCCAAAGGACUCGUGGCAUUGAAAACUAACGGAUCAAGUGGGAGCUAAAGACUCCGGGUAGAAGCUAAAAGAGACUAGAUUCACAACAUCUAAGUCACAAUCAACUUCUAACGGAUCAAGGAAAACUUUUAAACGAUGACCAUUUACCUUAAAGAUGUUACCUUCGUUGUCGCACAGCGUGACGGCUCCUUGUGAUGAAGCGUCGACGACAGUAUAUGGACCCAUCCAUUUACUUCGAAGUUUUCCAUGUCCGAAAAGUUUCACCCGAGAAUUGAACAGCAGCACCUUGUCCCCUGCUUUGAACUCCUUGUGCUUGAUCCGCUUGUCAUGCCAUCUUUUGGUUCUAUCCUUGUAGAUCUUGGCAUUGUGAUAGGCCUUGUCCCUCCAUUCUUCUAGCUCAGAGUGCUGCAUCUUCCUGUGCUGUCCGGCUCCCGUUAAAUCCAUGUUCCAAGUCCGGAUAGCCCAGUGCGCCCUGUGUUCCAACUCUACUGAAAAGUGACAAGUCUUCCCGUAGACAAGUUGGUAUGGUGACAUGCCGAUGGGCGUCUUAUAAGCAGUCCUAUAUGCCCAAAGUGCAUCAGGUAGCUUGUUCUUCCAUGCCUUCCCCAUCUCAUUGACAGUCUUCUGCAGAAUGUUCUUGAUUUGUUUGUUGCUUGUUUCUGCCUGUCCACUUGUUUGGGGAUGAUAUGGAGUGGCAAUGUUGUGCUGAGCCCCAAGUUCUUGCAAAAAGUUUCGGAAGGUCUUAUCGAUGAAAUGAGACCCUAACAUCCGGCGGGCGUGCUUGGCGUCUGCGGCCCUGCAUGGCAUUGCCUCUACCCACUUGGACACAUAGUCAACGGCCACCAGGACAUACUCGCAAUCAUAGGACUUUGGGAAAGGUCCCAUGAAAUUGAUGCCCCAUACAUCAAAUAACUCGACUUGAAGGUUGUAUGUAAGUGGCAUCGCUUCGCAAGCAGUGAUUCCUCCAUGCUUCUGGCAACUUGUGCAUCUCCAAACGAAUUCCUUUGUGUCAUCGUACAUUGUUGGCCAAAAGAAUCCGCUCUGCCAGAUCUUUGCGUGUGUUCUGAAUGCUCCAUAGUGACCUCCAUAUGGGGCAGCAUGACACUUCUUAAUGAUCUUCAUGCCUUUAUCUACCGGAACGCAUCUUCGUAGUAGACUGUCUGAACAGACUCUGUACAGGUAAGGUGCAUCCCACAAGUGCCCGCGGCUCUUGUAGAUCAACCUCUUCUUAUUUUCUCCCGGGGGUAAAUGCCCCGCGACCAUGAAGUUGACGAUGGUUGCAUACCACGAGUCAGAGUCUAUGACUUUCAACAGCAUGUCGUCUCGCAGAUAGUCAUUUAUCGGUAGCUCGUGCAUGUUAGUGAUUUGCAUACGCGACAAAUGAUCUGCAAUAGAAUUCUCUACUCUCUUUUUAUCCUUAAUCUCUAUGUCAAACUCUUGGAGCAGAAGAAUCCACCUAAUCAGCCGAAGUUUUGAAUCUUUUUUAGCUCGAGCUUGGCUCGUCCUAGGCUCGAUUUGAGCUCGGCCCGAGCACCAAACGAGCUGAACCCAAGCCUGAGCAAAAGCUUGCGAGCUUUACCGAGCCGAGCUCAAGCUUCUACCGAGCCUGGCCGAGCUUGACUGUGUAUAGUUUAUAUUGCAUGUUCACCUCUUUAAUAUAAUAAACUAAUAGAUAAAUAUAUAUAUAUAUAUAUGUGUGUGUGUAUGUAUCUAUUUACACAAUAAAUUAGCAUGUGUUAGCACAAUAUAUUUAUUUUAAUCAUUUUUUACUCUGUUAUUAGUGUGAUUAACUAGAAAAUAAUUAUACUUAUCAACAGAUUAUUAUUAAAAUAUAUAUUAUACUACUUAUGGCCGAGCUCGAGCUCAAACCGAGCUUGCCUAAAAGCUCGAAGGUGCAAUAUGCUCGGCUCGAGCAUGUGUCGAGCUCGAACUUGGGCAAAUGAGCUCGCUCGAGCUCGGCUCAUUGACAGCCCUAAUCAGAAUACAACAGUAUUCAAACAAUAGUUCAUCUCAGGUUCAACCUAAUACCAGAGUCUCAGAUACUCUGCUUCCAGAAUCAAACAAUAGUUCCACAACAAGCAGCAAAAUGUAUGGUUCAAUUAAAAGAAUCUUACAUCACCCAUGGAAUAAUGCAUAGCAAGUCCAUGUUCAACCAUAUGCACUCCGUUAAGCCAAAUAUUCACCUGCAAUGGGUCCAUAAAGAACUCAAUGGAUUACGAAGAAAAGGUGAAUGGGGAUAUCAAAUAUUUCAAAAUCCAACUAAAAGGGAAAGCUGGACACCGACCAGCGUGACCAAUAAGGUAAAUAAAAGGAGGCAACAACAUUAGGAUGGAAGCCAACAUGUACUUUUGGGGUUGCUACUGCCUAACAUAUUCAUGGUAAGCAAAUAUAUAUUUGUCUAAAUCCAACUCCAAUGUUUCUAAGUGCACAAUAACUAUUUUUAGACGGAAGCAAUACUGAAACAUUUAUAAAGUGUAAUAGUACCAUAAUAUCUAUGAUCACUAUAACUAUUACUCUAUAAAAACAUAACAAGUUGUAUAAGAGCUGCUCAUUUCUUUGAACUACAAGUUGUAUCUGCAUCAGAAGGAAAUACAUCAUAUAAGUUCCAGUAUCAAAUAACGUUCUAGCGAUGCCUAGUAUGUAACUUAUCACGACUAAUGGUAUCAUCUGAAAAAUUAAAAGAUGGGUCAAGGGCAGCAGCAUACAUGUAAUGUACCAAAAUAAGUAACAAAAAAAUGGCACUUUUUUCAUGAGUUCUAUUAAUAUAAAGAAAUAUGGAGCAGAGAACUUCUAGUAAUAGAGUUUAAGCAUACUUAGAAACUGAUCAUCAGAAUGUAUGUGUGUUUUUGGACAUUGGGCACUGCACCUUGUUGGAAAAACAUAGUAUUUUCCUGGAAGAAAAAUCGCCAUGCUGCAACUUUACAUAGGUCUUUAAUGCAGAAAAGCAAGACAACAGAUUUAAUCAAGGAAUUGGCACAUCAAGUCCAAUACGUAUUUGUGUAAUAUUUUUCCUUUAGAAGUUCAGCCUGUAACAUUUACCCAAAGAACACACAAACAAAGGACUAAUUAAUUGUUGGAAGAAGAGUAGCAAUUCCCCUUUAACAUACAUAAAGAAAGUUCCCCUUUUAGUUUUUCUUACUAAAAGGAUAAACAUACACAAAGAAAGUUCCCCUUUAAAUCAAGAAAAGGUUUCGUUAAGAUAGUUAUGGAAACAUAUUCCCCUUUAGUCCAUGUUUUCGCUUUCGGACAAGUAAUCUACUCUUACGCCCAAGAAAGUUCACCUAUGCUAACAAAUUCCUUGUCCCUGUAGUAAAUUUAUUCAUGGAAUUCAGUUUGCUAAUGUUUUUUUGCACUAGUUUAGUUAGAGUUAUGUUUAUAAGCGGUGCAGCCAGGUGGCAAAUUAAUUGUCAAAAUUGCUAGAGCAAUUAAAGUUGUCAAUUGAAUACUAGUUUUGUUCUGUUUUGCACUUAAUAUAGCUGAUCACAGUUUAAAAUGCCGCUGCACUUAACAAUAGGUACAGAUCUUGAACCCACAAAAUCCAUAUAAAAUGGUUUGGAUUGUAGGUAAGCAUAAUGUUUGUAUUUUGCUAAUUAUUCAGAACAUUCAUACCAAGAUGCUAGUAAAAUAACUCAUUCAGUUAGCCAAAAGAUUCAGGCACAAUUUAGCACAGAUUUCUACAAGCAAAAGAACUCCAUCCAACUCAUGCCUUCAGUAGAAUAAAACUGUGCUCAGGAUCAGCAAGGAGCUGUGUAAAAAAAUGUAGAAAAUCUAAGAGAAAAAGGAAAUAUAAACCUUCCUGUCCUCAGCAGUUGCGCUCCGGUGGAAGGGGCAGGUUGAACCCGCCACGGCGGUUCAUCUACUGCCGUGGCUGCCGCUUGGUGACGACGCGCACCCCGCUAACAUCGGCGUUGGGGACGUGCUUCCCCUUGGUGGAGUCGAAGCCGACGGGGAUCCCCAUCAUCUUCAUCAUCUCCAGCUCCUCCACGUCCACGUCCCCUUCGCCCGCCGCGACCCCAUCCCCGGCGGCACUCUUGGGCGGGACGAGGCCCGCCGCCGCCAGAUCUGAGCAGGACGAGGCCCGCGUCGCCAACCACAUGUCGACGUCGUCGGGGUUGCCGCCGCUGCCACCACCCGCGUUGUCGUCGUCGUCGGGGAUGGAGCCGCCGCCGGAUCCGCACGAGGGAGGGCCCCCUGGGGCCGGAUCCGCGCCGCUCGGCCGUCGCUCGUCGCCCGCUCCCAUCUGGCGCCGCUCGCUCCCAGCCGCGAUCUGCCGCCACCCUCGCCUGGCCGCCAUGCUGCCACCGAGCCCCCCGGCCGCCGUCGCUUGCCGCCGCUUGCUCCCGCCACCGAGCCGCCCGACCAUUGCCCGACUGAGAGGAGAGAAAGGGAGAGAUUGAGAGGAGAGGAAAUGAAAAAAGAGAGGGUGUUAAUAUCUGUUGGGAGAGAGAGAGGAGGGGUGGUGAAAAAAAUUUGAAGCAAGGAGGAGCGAAAGAGAAAGAGGAGGAAAAUAAUUAUUAAAAAUAUUAAUUUGAUAAUAAAUGAACUUCGAGUUGAAUUUUAAGAUACUAAAUGAACUUACGUGAAAAAUUUCUUAAAAACAAAGUUAUAUAAAUCAUUGAGAUCUAUAACUUUUCUUUUGGACAUUUCUCCAUCCGAGUUUGAUUGAACUAUAUAAAAUUUGAAUUUUAAAAUAUAAGAAAUUCAAAUAUUUUUUCAGGUAGUAAAUGAAUUCAAAUGAAAAAGUCAUCAAUAACAAAGUUGUAUAGCUUAUCAAGAUCUACAACUUUUAUAUUGGUCAAUUUUCUAUAUGAUUUUGUUUGAACAGUUUGAAUUUGAAUUUCAAAUUAUGACAACUUCAAAACAAAAUAUGACUUUGUUUUGGUCAUUUCUUUAUUUGACAAAGUAAUAGUAACACUGUUCACAAAAUUUACAUAUCUCUAUUAUAUAUUAUAAACUAUAUAAGAGAUACGUAUAUUCUGUGAACAAUGUUAUAAAUCGCUUCGUCAGAUGAAGAGAUGACACAAAUAAAAGUUAUAGAUUUUGAUGAGAUAUACGACUUUGUUAUUGAUGACUUUUUUAGUUGAAAUCAUUUAAUAUUUGAAAAUGUUGUUUGAAGUUGUCAUAAUUUGAAAUUCAAAUUCAAAUUAUUGAAACAAAGUCAUAUAGCAAAAUGACCAAAACAAAAGUUGUUGAUAUUGAAGAGUUAUACAACUUUGUUGUCGAUAACUUUUUCAAUUGAAAUUAUUUAGUAUUUAAAAAUGUUAUUUAAAGUUGUCAUAAUUUGAAAUUCAAAUUUUAUAUAGGUCAAUCAAACUCAGAUGGAGAAAUAACCAAAACAAAAUAGGUAGAUCUCAAUAAGUUAUACACCAUUGUUUUUGACAACUUUUUCACACAAGUUCAUUUAGUAUGAUAAAACUCAAUUCUAAGUUUUAAUAUUUUGAAAUUAAUUGAAAUGAUGGAGGCAAAAUAGACUUCUCGGUGAGGGAGGAGCAAAAGGGCUGGCCCAUAACAGGCCUUGUUUCAUACCAUCUAUGUUUAACCUUUUUUUUCUUUUAUUUUUUUUACCAUUGUGAAGUAACACACAAAAAUCGAGAUCUACCAAUUUUGUUUUGGUUAUUUGUCCAUCUGAGUUUGAUUAGCCUAUAUAAUAUUUGAAUUUCAAAUUAUGAUAACUUCAAACAACAUUUUCAAAUACUACAUGAUUUCAACUCGAAAGGUCAUCAACAACAAAGUUGUAUAAAUCAUCAAUAUCUACAACUUUUAUUUUGAUCAUUUUUCUAUACGACUCUGUUUCAAUAAUUUGAAUUGCAAUUUCAAAUUAUGAUAACUUCAAACAACAUUUUCGAAUACUAAAUGAUUUCAACUAAAAAAGUCAUCAACAACAAAGUUGUAUAAAUCAUCAAUAUCUACAACUUUUGUUUUGGUCAUUUCGCUAUAUGAUUCUAUUUCAAUAAUUUUAAUUCGAAUUUCAAAUUAUGACAACUUCAAACAACAUUUUCUAAUACUAAAUGAUUUCAACUGAAAAAGUCAUCAACAACAAAGUUGUAUAAAUCAUCAUAUCCACAACUUUUGUUUUGGUCAUUUUGCUAUAGGACUCUGUUUUAAUAAUUUGAAUUUGAAUUUCAAAUUAUGACAACUUCAGAGAACAUUUUCAAAUAAUAAAUGAUUUCAACUGAAAAAGUCAUCAACAUCAAAGUUGUAUAAAUCAUCAAUAUAUAUAACUUUUAUUUUGGUCAUUUCUUCAUCCGAUAAAGUGAUAGCAACAUUGUUCGCAAAAUUUACAUAUCUCUUAUAUGGUUUUGAUGUAUUUAAUAUUAUAUUUGUAAAUUGCGACGAAAUUGCUAUAACGUCACAGGUUUUUGGCCGGUUUAUGACGAAAUCGAUAAAAUGUCAUGUUAUUAUGGGCCUUGUAUCCAUUGUUGCAUAUCCGUGACGAUCUCUGAAAAACAUCACGAAAAUUUCGUCAAAUUUCAUCACAGAUUAAAUAGAUUCUUAUAGUAUUUGGGACCCUACAGUGAGGUUCCAGAAAUAAAAAAAGAGUGAUUCAAGAGAGAGUCAUCUAAGGAAUAUAGUUAGUUUGUGAAAAUAUAUGAAAAACCCAAGUGAGUAUCAGGGGAAAAGGAAUGACUUGAGUCACGACCGUUUCAUUCAUCAAUCGCCCAAGAUUGUAAGAUACACACCGCAAAGUUCACAGGUACAUAUAUGGCUUAGAAUAGAUUGUAUACAUGUAUAUACCUUGAAGAAUUUUAUUCCACAAUAAUCCUUAAUGGGACGAGUAAAGAGCUAAGUGUCGGGGUUUUUUGACGGUUAUUAAUUUCCAAAUUUACGCCGUCAAUACCUGCAUAAAUAUAAAAAGAUAAAACAUCCAACAUAGUGGUAGGGUUUAAUUCUAACGAUUCCUACAGUAUUGGUGUAUAUUUGAAUGCAGGUAAUAAACCAUCAAAGUUGAGGCGAAAUAUACAUAAAGAAGGAGGAGAAUCAAACUUAUAUCCAAGCCUAUGGAGUCUUGGUCCACAAACCUAACAAAACACCUACAAUUGGGCCCAUUCACCAUACAAGCGAACGGAGAGACUCCCUGCCAGAGCCCAGGAGGAAGUGCUGGGCCAGGGAGGCUGCCCAGGGUUCGGCCAAACAAUGCCUGGCCCAGCCCAGCCACAACCGCCUUCAGGCCAUCCCCGAUACAUGUCAAUCUCUACUACCAUAUUGAAUAACUCACGCGACACGCGGACACUUGUUCCAGUAAUCCAUGCCAAGUCCAUGUAUUGUUUGUCUUCUACAACCAGAUGCAACGAAUUUGAAGAGCCCAACCUAUAUAUAUACUCUAAAUUAAGAACUCCUAAGCUACCAUAAGCGUGGGGUCGGCACACUCUAUUCCAAUCGACCAAACAAUUGCUACCAUUGGCCUUCUCUUGCUCUGACCGUGAGAAGCCGCUCCUCUUGUCUAUAGGUUUGGUCACCUAUUUUGGAAGGUGAUAAAUCGGUAUAGUUGAGAGCACUUCUUUCACCGUAACUAAGCGACUGGCCCUGUUUAUGAGUGAGGUCUUCCACAAAGAGAGUAUGUCAUCAGCAACUGUGUCAAUAAGGGAUAGAAAGUCCGCUUUAGAAGGCUUCUCUACUGUACCACUUUUGCAAGGGAAGUCCUUCACCUUACAAGGCAGCGAGUUAACAAUUACUUGCAGAUCUUCAUCAAAACAUCUAAUAGGAAUGACAAACCUCUUUUGCAUAUUUGUUAACAGCCCCAAAGCAAGACCGAAGAUAUUGCGUUUGACAAUUUCCUCAAUUUUCAGCUGCAAUAGUCUUUUAAUGAGGAUUUUAAAAUUCAUCAUCUUUCCUCACAUGAAGUUCUGGCCUGUUUCUUUUUCUUUUUACUUCAAAGCCCAGCCCCCCCACACCAACAUCUCUCAUAGUAGUUUCUGCUCAUCUUUCACGUAGCUCCAAUGGCAGUCACAUCCCUGCCAUCAUCUUGUUCUAGUGUUGCUCGGAGUCAGGACGAAGUCAGUCGGGCUGAACAUACAUCGACCCCAUCCCUAGUUCCUAAUUUUGAGGUUAUAGCAAAAUACCUACCAGCUGCCAAGCACGAUUGAGAAGCGCUGAACGAGAGUUACCCAAACAAGCAGUACAAAAAACAAUUAAAUAAUGUCUGUAUAUACUGUUCUUCAAGGUAAUAAGCAUCAGUACAUCCAUCAACAUGGCUUGUACUGAGCAACCUUAGGAGUAUAUCUAAAUACAGGUGUAAGUUCAUUGCUGGUUUGUAAGUGUAAUAGUUUUAUAAUAAUGCUCCCAAGGAGGCCUUAGGCAUACAGUAAUAAACAAGAGGUUGGAUCUGUAAGUUCUCAUGGUGAAUAUAAAUAUGGUUACCUGGUACUGGUAAUUAUUGAGCUCAUUGUGUUGUGGCCAAGAAAACUUUUGAAUAUUUUGGAUGGUCCUCAAGCAUAUAGAAUAGUAAGUCAUUAUACGUUAUUAACUGUGUUUUUAAUCUUCUGUUCAUGAGGUCAAUUGAUAAUAAUUAAACAUUCAUUGUGUUUUGGUCACGUAUCCUUUUAAUUAAGGAAGGAAAAUUAUUUAUUUUCUUCAUCAUGUAUAUGUUCAUAAAACCUGUAUUGGACUAUCUAGCUCAAUUGAUCAUGUGUAUUCAGUGCUACCUCAGUUCUGAUAUAUGUAGCAUGCAUUAUAUAACUUUAACAAAAGGGAUCCAUCCCGAUGACAAGAUUUAUUUCUUAGGCAAUGAUAUCAUCACUCUACAUAUGCUCACAUCCUCAAGAAAAGAUAAUAUAUGAUGGCAGAUCGUGAUUAUCAUAGCUUAUUGGAAAUACAACGUGACAGAAAUCAAGAGAGAUCGAUGGCACACUGGAUUGGAUAUCAUGAUAUCCAUUUUAUUUAUGAGUACUCCAGGGUGGCAUAGCCUACCAUGGGCUUCCAUGUGUGAAGCCCCUUAUGCUUGCAUGUUGCACUUGCUUAGGAAACAACGGUGACAGUCUCAGCUUCCUUGGUACAGAAGCGGCGGCAUGCUUCGUUGCAACGAUCGACGGCAUGAUUGGCUUCUUCAUUGCCAAAAACUGAAAAGGAAAACAAACGUUUCAAUCUAUACAUUAGCUAUAUAGAACAAAGAAUAUUUAUUUUUUUGGUUGCAAAUCAAUGGUAAUUUAGCUUGAUGUUUUUUCUCGCUUACGAGUGCUCAUGGUGCUGCACACAGACGAAGCACAUCCCAGCUUGCAGAAGUCAACUACCUCCGAUUCCUCUGCAAAAUCAUGUAUAUGCAUGAAUAAAUGCUUGUACCAAUAGAUAUUACAAAAUUAAUAGCCCAAAAGUUUACACAAAGGGAGUUAAUAUGUUUUAAUUUGCCUAGGUUAGCUGGGGUGAAGGGCGUGAUGAAUGCAAGAUAGAAAUAUAGACAAGGAGAGCUAAUGUUUCUAAUUUACCAGCUUCUGGGUGAAGGGUAUGGUGAACGUAAGGAGGCUUGCAGUUCCCAUCAACAAUUUUGCAGCCAGAAAGUUUAGCACAGGUGUCUCUUGAGCCACCCGCGAAACGGCAUGAGUUAUAGACGUUUCUUGCUGUGGUGGAUGGGCAACAACUCUUUGCUUCCACCUGGAUCUUCUCUUGUUGCAGGACUAAGCCUAACACUAGCAUACACAUGAUCAAAC
rnacentral:lncRNA from 1 species